rnacentral:rRNA from 1 species
UACGUAGGGAGCAAGCGUUGUCCGGAAUCAUUGGGCGUAAAGCGCGCGUAGGUGGCCCUGUAAGUCCGUUGUGAAAGUCAAAGGCUCAACCUUUGAAAGCCGAUGGAUACUGCAGGACUAGAGUACGGAAGAGGCGAGUGGAAUUCCUGGUGUAGCGGUGGAAUGCGCAGAUAUCAGGAGGAACACCGAUGGCGAAGGCAAUCCCCUGGGCCUGCACUGACGCUCAUGCACGAAAGCGUGGGGAGCAAACAGG